ACACUACCAAGGCAGGCGCAGGGGUGCGAGCCGUACCACUCAGCAGCCGUGGGGGCGUCUGGAGCAGCUGCGCCUUGUGCAGCGAGCUAUGCUGGAUUUGACUGUCGUGACUCAGGCUGGAGCUGGAACCCUGAAGAAGGGUAGGGAGGGGUCCGUGGGGGAAUUCCUCAAGAACACUCAACUGAGACCCUACUUCUGCGUGGACCUGCCCCCAAGACCGUCCCUACGUACGUCCACCCCAUCACCCCGGGGUUCCUUGGGCCUCUGAGGUCCCAGAUCGGUAGUGGAAGGCAAACUCACGCGCCUCCGUCUCCCGGUUGGUGUUGCCGAGUUGUGGGCCAGCUCCCGGCCACUGGUUGGAGCCAGCAGAUUGUGCUCAGGCGGGCCGAAUGGACCACAGCGCGUCCCUUACUACAACAGCUUUGUCUUCCAGGUAGUGGCACCCGGUUCCUGUCUACACAGUGGGUUCUGCCCAAAGUCAAGGACAGUUGGGGAGCUGCCCCGUGCUCCUGCCAACAGCCAAAGCUACUUGGCCCUGGAUCCCUAGAGGCGGCAUUACGGGAAGGGCAAAGACCUCCCGACCCAGUUCACCCAUGCCAUGCACCUACCAAAGACCUGAGGCCAUUAGGAUAGCAGUGGCUGGAGCAGAAUCGGUCCCCUCUCUCUGAGCAGAUGGCCAGCACUUGGAGAGCCCACCGUGGCUCUGGAGUCACACAAAUGGUCUGAGCACUUCUUGGGCAAUAUCUGCUAGUCAGGUGUUCUCAGACUCUUAUCUCUCAUCCAGAGAGCGCAGUUGCCCACCCUACCCUGGAUUGUAUCACACCUCACCUUGAGAUAGGAUAGCUAGUUAUAGAAGACUCGAUGAAUUCCCGUACAUACCCCACCCAUCUAGUUCUGAUUUUUGUCUCUGAACACAAGGAAUUUCAACACAGUAAGCCAGGCCACCUGCGAAAGAACCUUUGAGAAACAUCACACACAAGAUGGAUAAAAUAGCCAACAGACUGUGAUUUAAGUCCUAUGUCCCUGAGACUCGUGCAUAAGGGUCCUUUUGAAGUGUCGUUGAAUCGUCUGUUCAGGAGAAAGAUUUAUAUUGAUACUCGAUUUUCGUGUUUCCCCCUGAUGUUUCAUUAAUAUUCGUGGCACCCCUGAGCCCAUGGUUAGCGCCUCAGUUCGAGCCUCCCUGCUUUACUAUGGUAAGCAACCACAUGAUUUCAACACCACCCUGAGCUAUGUGAGACCCUGUCUCAAAAUAACAACAAAAAGUGAGCUGGGUGUUUGUAAUCCUGACCCUUUGGGAGGUGGAGAUAGGAUGACCAGCCAAGAUUGAUGCCUCCUCUAAGUACUCUAAGCUUCCUGUGGACCAGGGCCAAGCUGCUCAUUCAUCCAUCCAGACGUUAUAGUGCCUGCCCAGGCACCGUGAGAAACACUCCAGAGAAAGAACCCAGUGCUCCUUGACUGAAUCUCUAGGCUGCUGUGCCACAGGCCAUUUGGAGAAGGCAAAUUGGAAUGAGUUUAACAGAGGUGGUGCUGAGGGACAGUUUAACACUCAUUUCCUGGAGGGUAGCAAAGGGCGUUCAUGCCAUGUUUCAUUGUUUCGAGAAGAUUCCCUUCUACCAGCUUUCUCAUCACAGGCAUCUGCCUGGCCUGCAGGUUUGUAACUGAGGGAUCAUGCUGAACCAAAGCGGCUGACAAACCAGAAAACAAAAUCCCGAACAAUCCCAAUGGUGGAGAAGAGCCAAGGCUCCCGAUAGCCUCCCAGCCACCUGGAAUCAGGGCAUUUCCUGCUUCUCAGGAGGCUCACAGAACGAGGCAAGCAAGGAAGCAGGCCUGUUACCAAGGGAUGCAAUCAUGCCCCGCCCACUGCUGACCUUCAUGACGUGACCAGCCCGAGCCAGUUGUGACCAGACCUGUUGUGUGAGCUGAUCAAAGUAGAGACUAUCACAUGAUUCCUGUGAUCCAGCAUCCUGUCAGACCUGUGUGGGCAAGCAGCCUGCCUAGGCAGAUGUGACCCAGUUGGUAAGUGGAAAGAGAGAGAGAGAGAGAGACAUA